UACGUAGGGUGCGAGCGUUAAUCGGAAUUACUGGGCGUAAAGCGUGCGCAGGCGGUUCGUUAAGACAGAUGUGAAAUCCCCGGGCUUAACCUGGGAACUGCACUUGUGACUGCACAGCUGGAGUACGGCAGAGGGGGAUGGAAUUCCGCGUGUAGCAGUGAAAUGCGUAGAUAUGCGGAGGAACACCGAUGGCGAAGGCAGUCCCCUGGGCCUGUACUGACGCUCCAUGCACGAAAGCGUGGGGAGCAAACAGG
rnacentral:rRNA from 1 species